GAAUGCUUGUUUUCAGGUUGGGCUUUACCUAUUUCUGAGACUGCCAGAAUGCAUCAGGAGCUUUCCUAGCAAGAAGGAGAUGUGCUUCCUUCUCCAUGGGCUGUGUGGUGUGAAGGUUUUGCUGGAAACAUCUUAAUACUUAGAGGAGCAAUGGAGCCUUCCUGUGUAGUAAGAACUUGCUUAGAAGUGAGAGCGUCCCAAAGCACAUUCCUGGUUUUGCUCACACCCCAGCUUCACUCUUACUGUCCCUCCCUUGGUUUGCUCGGUGCGUGCCACACCAUCUUGUUAUGGAUGGCUUCUCCUUUCAUCUACCUCUACUGCAGGAACUUCAGAAGCUUGUGCCCAGGUGUACCUUCCUUCUGAAGUAUGUGGUGUGUUUGCUAUGAGAGUGUUUCAUAUACAUGAUGGCUUGUUGGAGGAGUAAAGUCUUUUCAGGCAGCUGCUGAGGAUGAGGAAGGUCUGCUAGGAUAGAAGAUGUUGCAGUCUGGAGCAAGCUCUGCUUUGAACAGUGCUGUGUAAAUAUUUUGCAAAUAACAGUGCAUAUAUAGAAGUACAUUGUUCAGCUUGACUAUAGUGGCAAUCCUUAAAAAAAAAAAGUAUGAAAUGGUAGUGGAGAGAGCGGGUGUCCCUGUUAAAUAAACCUACUUGAUGGUGACUAAUGUGUGCAACAGAUAUGAGUGGCUGCAGUUCAAAGUUCCUGCUGAACCCGCCAGCUCUCCCAACUGCCUGCUGCAGCCCUCAGCACGCGGAUCUGGCUCUGCAGGGUGGGAACUGAAGAGCAAGCUUCUGGGAGCUCUCCUCUUGACUCCAUGCUGACAGCUCCCUUCCAGGAUCAGCUGCUAUCUCAAAGAACUCACCUCUGCCGCUCCAGAGGGCUCUGCCUGUUCUUCUGCCCAAAAGAUGGGGAAGGCCACCUGUGCCUGGGGGUGCAAGUCCUGGUUUGUUCAAGCGCAGCGUUCCUCCACCCCCACUUACUGGGCAGCCUACAGGAAGGCAGUGAGGGUUGGUCACUGGAUUUAGUGUGGGCAACUUCUGAGUUACCGCGAUUCAUUUAUUCCACGCAGUACCGGAAGAAUGUAAAGAAGCACUGAAAAGUCCCAAUUUCCAGAGUAAGAUGUGCUCUUUUGCUGUAGAAAUGAGAAAAACAAGUGUUCUCUGCCUAAAAAUAACUGAGAAUGGUCAGGAACUGGCUGAAUGGGGACAGAGUGGGGACAUGACUUAGGUAAGGCAACAGCUCAUACCCAACCAGUAAGGCCAGUGUUUUAUAGUGCCUGGAGGUGGCUGAAAUAUGUCGCAAUCCUCUUCCACUCUUGGACAUAAGAGAAGCAGUCUCUGUAGUGCAACGCCAAGAAGUACAUCUUCCUAAUAUGAAAAUGAUUAGAAAAUGCAGAACUCUUGGAUCCACAGCUGUCUCAGAGCCAAACACAUUUGCUUGUUGUCAGCCUUAAUAAUCAUGAGCUGUGUGUGGAAAAUAAAUUGCAUCUUUCACAAAAAUGCUGGGAUUAUAAGAAUUAUAGCUAGAGGCAUAAUAAUCAUCAGGGUCUUGCCAGUACCUCAGAUACCUUCCCUUAACUAAAGCACAGGCUUGCUGUCUGUGAUGGUCCAGAUUCAGUAUCUCACCACACAGCUGCUUGUUACCAGCGCGUGGCUCUCAAGUGGAGAUGAGUCACAGAUCACUGCAGUGUCUUUGAGUGUCACAACAUGAAGGAAGAAUGAGAGUGCGCUGACACUGUUGUACCCAUUGCUAUUUCACCCUGCACAGCGUGUCACGGGGCACGUGGGGAGUUAACUUUGUGGUGUGCUCUCACUCUGAGUUGCAAGGCAGCCACUCUGCAUGGCUGCUACCCAACGUCAAGCUGCAACAUGCAGGAGGCACCCAGGCACACCUCUUUGCCUCCUCUUUCACCUUUCAUUGCCUUAGUGCUCAAAUAUUGAAUGGAAAAUAACGAUCAAGUACUGUGUUGUUUAUUUUCAGAUUUUCUGUGCCAAGCACAAUAAACAUUCCCCGUGCUGUGAAGCAGAGGUGGUC
rnacentral:lncRNA from 7 species